rnacentral:rRNA from 1 species
UACGUAGGGACCAAGCGUUGUUCGGAUUUACUGGGCGUAAAGGGCGCGUAGGCGGCAAUUCAAGUCAUCUGUGAAAUCUCCGGGCUUAACCCGGAACGGUCAGAUGAUACUGCUUUGCUGGAGUGCCGGAGAGGUAAGCGGAAUUCCUGGUGUAGCGGUGAAAUGCGUAGAUAUCAGGAGGAACACCUGCGGUGUAGACGGCUUACUGGACGGUAACUGACGCUGAGGCACGAAAGCGUGGGUAGCAAACAGG